rnacentral:lncRNA from 1 species
UUUAGGUGAAAAUUGCACAGGUUUUCAGCUCCCUGUUUUGAUUGCCUUUUGUCUCUGCAGGUCUCUCCUCCAUAGCUGCUCAUCUUCCUGUACCAUGGCUCUGGACACCACACUCUAAAGCUCCUGUCACCAGCACACCCUGCCCACAACAAAGGAAGGAUGACAACAAGGAGAGAUUGGCUGUGGAUGGAAUUCUUUUUUCCCCAUGUUCUUGAAUACUGAUGUUUCGGAUUUGACUUCAGAAUUGGACAGAAAAAGCAUCGCAUCCAAAGUUGUCUAUUUGAAAAUAUGCCAAGUCAUUCCAUGGGGAGAUUUAUAAUUUGGUCCAAGACUGAUUUUAUGCCUAAAGCAAACAAAAGACUUGAAAACAUUUUGCUUGCAUGACAGCAGCCCACAUCAUGAGAAAAUAACUCCUGUGCAGUGGCCUGGGGUACUGUCCCAACCUUGUUCUACUGCCCAGCCUGAGAGGCUACAGAAAGUGGAGGUUUCAAGACCAAAGGGUGUGUGGUUGCAAAGCCCUCAGAACAGUUCCCUGCAGACUGAGGACACCGAGAGAGUUACAGGGAUAUUCAACCACCACUGAGCACCCAGAAGUCUUCAGUCAUUCCCCUAAACCUACAUUUCCCUUGGAUUCCAGCAGAGGUUCCACAAAACUGACACUGCUCCAAGCAGAUAUAGUGAUCUCAUGGAGGCUGAAUUGCACUUUCAAGCAACAGUUCCUGUGCUGGUCAACUUGUGUUCUGUUAGCAAAUGUAACCUCAAUUGGAAACUCGACCCACCUUAAGUGACAUGGCAUGGAAACUGGAUGUAUUUCUACACUACACCUUCUGAUUAUUAACAACUUUAUUGUUGGUGAGAGAUCAAGACAAGUGAUGAGUUAAGCAUUCAUCAUUAUACAUUCUACAGCUUGUAACUAUGUUCAGGUUAUGUAUUAGGAAAUUGCUUGGUGGUUUGGGGGACUUUUCUCACAUUACCAUUUUUCCAAUUUAACAUAAGGAGAAAUGAGCUCUCAGGUUGGAUUUUUUGCACAGA